GCGUUCCUACGGGAGGCAGCAGUGAGGAAUAUUGGUCAAUGGGCGGGAGCCUGAACCAGCUACGUCGCGUGAAGGAAGAAGGUACUUAGUAUUGUAAACUUCUUUUGUCGGGGAACAAAGGCGGAGACGCGUCUCCGGAUGAGUGUACCCGAAGAAAAAGCAUCGGCUAACUCCGUGCCAGCAGCCGCGGUAAUACGGAGGAUGCGAGCGUUAUCCGGAUUUAUUGGGUUUAAAGGGUGCGCAGGCGGAAUGUCAAGUCAGCGGUAAAAUUUCGGGGCUCAACCCCGUCGUGCCGUUGAAACUGC
rnacentral:rRNA from 1 species